UACGUAGGUGGCAAGCGUUGUCCGGAUUUAUUGGGUUUAAAGGGUGCGUAGAUGGCGCCGUAAGUCGGGUGUGAAAUUUCGGAGCUUAACUCCGAAACUGCAUUCGAUACUGCGGUGCUUGAGGACUGGAGAGGAGACUGGAAUUCAUGGUGUAGCAGUGAAAUGCGUAGAGAUCAUGAGGAAGACCAGUGGCGAAGGCGGGUCUCUGGACAGUUCCUGACACUGAGGCACGAAGGCCAGGGGAGCAAACGGG
rnacentral:rRNA from 1 species